CUCUGUGGUGAGCAGGGUACCUUCUCUCCCUCCUCCAUAUGUGUUAUAGAACAGUGUCCGCGUCCCAUAUACAGUACGCACUCGUAUAUUAGUCUGUCUGAAGAGUUUACGAUUACGACUCCUCCGUGACCCUCAUGGUGUGUAUAGGAAAGUAUAUUACAAGUUACUGCAUUGUGUAACGUAAUUGAUGAAAGCACGGUGGCUACCACACCAUUGUUACUGCCGCCAAGCCCAUCUGGUCACAACCAUCGUCUGGUCUUUCUUCGCCACGACUACCUGUUUCAUCACUAUCACCAUGAAAAAACUGCAUAAAUUCUUGAUAGCGUUGGUAACGUUAACUGUACUAUUAGUUACAAUUUACCUGCUGUCUGUUAACGACGUCCCCAUCACCUUAUUACCAAUGAAAUCAUUCAGACAUGAAGGAACGUUAUUCGGGAUCAGCGAAGAGACGCGAAAUAAUAAGACACAAGAUCCUAUCAUAAAAAGAGGAACACAAAGUGAGGGGAACCCAGAGGCCAAGGAAACCUUGAUGACACACCUACCACCAAAGUCAGGGACUUCUCAGGGCAUUGUUACUGCACGCCAACCACCAAGCUCAGAGACAAUCACCUCUAAAGACAUCAACAGUGUUCAUCUGCCACUACAGCCUGGGGAUUCACAUCUACCAUACGAGGAACUGAAUUUAAAGCAAAUAAAACAAUCACCUGUAGAUCUGUUUAAAGAGACGCCCGAGACCAACGAUGCACUCAACACUAAUAAUAAUCCUCAGUUGAAGAAAAUACUCUUUUGGAAUGAUGGUUACAGUAGCAAGCACUUUGGGUUCGGGUUCGGUCGUGAGCCCUUCUUGCGUGCUGGCUGCCGUGUCAAUACUUGCUUCACCACAGGCGACCGAUCCCGCUUUCCGCUGAAGGAGAUUGACGCUCUUGUGUGGCAUUUUAGAUCAAAUGACAGAUCGCUUCCUACUGUCAGGUCCCCCCAUACCCGCUACGUCUUCUGGAUGAUGGAGUCAGCAUCUUACCUCUACGGCAAUAUUGGCCACUUCAAUAACAUCUUCAAUUGGACAUUUACGUACAGACUCGACUCCGAUUUCCCAAACCCGUACGGGCGUGUCUACCGACGUCGGCAGCCCCUUCAGGAGCCAGAAGAGGAGCGGAACUACGCAGCCAACAAGACCAAGCUGGCAGCCUGGUUUGUGUCCAACUGUUGGACAGUCGGCGGCAGGGAAGAGCUGGUAAAACUGUUAAGGAAAUGGAUCAAGAUUGACCAGUACGGCCAAUGUGGGUCGUUGAGUUGUGUGAGGAAGAACUCCAGUGGAUGUUACUCUAUGCUUGAGAAGAACUACAAAUUCUACUUCUCCUUUGAAAAUUCUCUUUGUCAAGAUUAUGCGACAGAGAAGUUGUUCAAUAUCUUAAGGCUAAACGUGGUACCAGUGGUGUACGGUCUAGGCAAUUACUCGAUGCUGGCGCCACCUCACUCCUACAUCGACGCCCUCAGCUUCCCCACAGCUAAGGCCCUCGCCGAGUACCUCAUCUACCUGGACAAAAACGACACUGCCUACAAUGAGUACUUCAGAUGGAAACGUUUUCAUUGGAUUCCUCACCCUUGGGCGAAUGAAGCCAAGCCGUACUGCGAUUUGUGUGAGCGCCUCCACCAGGACAACACCACCAAAGUGUACAACCUGCAGCAGUGGUUUGUCCAAGACUCUCACUGCAAGUCCAGCUACAGCAAGGACAUAUCUUUGUUCAUAAACGGGUAUAUCAAACGAUGGCACACAGAAAUUAUCCCUGUAGUGAUAAUUUUCGUAAUUUUUCUCAUAUUCGUCGGCAUUUCAUUUCCGAAGUUUUAUAUCAGACGCAAUAUAUUCCGUAAACAUGGAAUAUAGAAUGAAUUUCAUAGUUCCAGGUAUAAAUUUUUCUCCGUGAAAAAGAACAAGUCCACAAAAGAAGUCCUAAAUCACACGCUGUUCAUAUCGCCACAAAUAUUGUAUUUGUUUCAGAAUUCUUAGUUGCUUAUAAUGGAACUACUUGUUGAUUAUGAAGAUAGUGUCUAAUAAAUUCAGUAACAUACUGUAUAAGUCUUUGUUCUCGAGACAACGUCGACUUCAGGGUUACUGACGUGAUUCCAACAACUCACUCAGUGUAUGUUGUAUUAUCGUGCUAGGGGAAGCAAUUAUCAAAACAAACUAUGUUUUAUUUAUCUAUAAAUGUUAAUGACGUGUGUGUGUGUGUGUGUUUGUGUGCAUUUACCUAAACUACGCGCUUGAAGAGAUUACUCAUAUAAACGUAGUUGUAACCGCCCGAUGAGCUACUGUGGAAUAAUGGGACCCUUGCACCCGGAAGUGCUUCUGUCGCCGCCGGAGUGUCGGGAGAUAUUCUUUCACUCACUUCUUCCAGAACUGGUCUGCAAUGAAUUGGGCAUGCUUCCAUUUUCGUCGGUACGCUUCUGCUAUGGACUGAUCGCCUCCAGUGGGCAGGGUUCCCGCAUGCAUUCGCGGCUUUGGGUUCUCUGGCCAAAUUCUGCUCCAUGCAGUCCACGCCUGGCAUCAUGAGCUGGGUUUUGGUUGGAGCUCACGUGUCUCCAUUGUUCUGCGUCAGAAUUCUCAUGUAUCGUUGCAUUGCGGUUUGCCAAAAUGGUAUGGAAGCGCCGUUCAGUGUUUCGUAUGUAUUGAAGGGUGACCAUGCUGUCUGUCCAGAACACUGAUCUGUCGAUCUGCAACUCUAGUUCUUCUCUCAGUUGUUUGUCUGCUUUGGCCGCCAACACUGCCGCACAUAGCCCGAGCCGAGGUAUGGUUUGCUGUUUCAGAGGAGCUAGCUUGGCUCUGCCACACACAAAGGAGGUAGAGUGGGCUCCAUCUCCACUUGUGAUCCUGAGGUAGCAUACAGCCCCGUAUGCUUGCUGGGAGGCGUUGCAGAAGUGGUACAGUUGUACCAUAGUUAUUGGAUUUGCGCAUUCAGGGUGGUAACAUCGAGGGAUGCGUACUUGAGACAAGUGGGGUUAGUUCAUUUAGCCACUGCCGCCAAGCGGCUCUGUUGAGUUUGGUCAUUUGCUCAUCCCACCCGAAGCCUCGCCUGCACUCGUCCUGGAAUUUGAUUUUGGCUUGUAUGGUGCUCGGAGCGAUAAUUCUUAAUGGGUCGUAUAUGGAGCUGACCAUACUCAGGAGACCUCGCUUCGUUUGUGGCUUCGUUGGGAUCUGGAUUCGGACUGCAAGUUCGUCAUUCUCUUGAUCCCACGUGAUUCCCAAUGCUCGCUCAGCUGGGAGCCUGUCAUCCUUCAAAAGUACUUCUUUCACUUCCAUGGCUCUUUUCGUUUGUUGGACUAUUAUGAGGACCACUUUGUGGUUGCAAAUCCAUUUUGUAAGUCUGAACUCGCCUUUCUUCAUCAACUGCCUCAGUUGGUGAGUGACUAUCGCUGCCUUCCCUGGUGAUGCUACUGAAAGAAGCAGAUCAUAAACAUAGAAGUUGCGACUUGCUUUCUUAAUUUCUUCAUGGAGCCUUUGUCUGUGGUCUUAGAAUGUUCGUCGUAGUGCAUAUCCAACACAAGAUGGGCUCCACACUCCCCCGAAGAGAUGUACCUUCAUUCGGUAAGUGGCCGGGUCUCCCGAUAGUUGGUCGUCUGUCCACCACAGGAAGCGCAAGGCGUCUUGAUGCUUAGGCAGUACUCGUACCUGGUGGAACAUAACCUCGAUAUCAGCCAUGAAUGCUACCCUUUCGUGUCGGAACCUAAUGAGGACUCCCAUCAAUUUGUUGUUGAGGUCUGGCCCUUGCAUCACUUGGCUGUUCAGGGACACUGACUCAUAUGUUGCUGCACAGUCAAAACUAUUCUCAACUUCCCGGGCUUAUUUUGGUUCAAUACUGGGUGAUGUGGGAGGUACCAGGUUUUACCCCGGCACAAUGGUAAGCUCACGGUGUGGGACUCUCUCAGUAUGUCCCUUGUUGAUCAGGUUUUGCAUCUCUUCUCGAUAUCUAUGGCGGAGGUCUGGGUCUUUCAGGAGACGUUUCUUUAAGCUCGCUAACCGUUGCUCAGCUAGUUUCCUGUUAUUCGGGAGUUCCGGCUCUUCAUGACGGAACGGUAUGGGAAGUUGAUAGUGCCCGCCCACUCUCGUCACUGAAGUUGACCAUAGCACCAGGACUCUUCUGUCUCUAAACGUGUCUCCAGGCUCAGCGGCUUUUCUGAGAUGAGGUGGUUGAAUGAUAGGUGGUCACUUAUUGCAGGUCCAAUCAGUCCAUUUAUGGUCCAUCCUAGAAGUAUGCUCACCGCGAACGGCUUUCCGUUCUCCCCGGUCCUUACUUCUAACGGUGUCAGGGCUUGUGUUACAUCUAACCUUAUCAGAAGAUCCACUCUUUCCGGUGCGUGGAAAUGUGUGGUUCCUUGGAGGUGCCUCCAUUUGGCAACAGCUCUGGUGUUCACAACCGAUGCUUCCAGUGAAGAAGGCAGGUCUUUAAUAACGAGGAUUCUGGGAAUGUUGAUGGAUCGACUUCUUCUCACUCCGACGCUAGUCACCUUCAGAACGAUCUCUUUGACCUUCACGCUCUUCGUCUCCUUCAGGAUCGUGCCUAUGGAGACUGAAACAGACUUCUCUGUUAUUUGUAGUCUGUUGGUUAGGCUCUCAGUGCAGUAAGACCUGUUGCUGCCUGAGUUCAAGAGUGCUCCGGUGAUCACUGUUGUAUUCGUUUCUCGCCUUAUCUCCCGGACUUUGACCUUUAAUAUGGGGAGUGCAACUCCGCCUGGAUCUGCUCUAAUCAUAUGUCGUAAUCUUCGUGCCCCUCGCACUGGUUAUUUUCUCGAUCGUAAGUAUUUCUGGCCCAUUUAUACAAGUUUUCUCGGUUCGUGGUCACUAAUGCAACCUUCUUGUUUCGAGCCCUUUUCUCCGUAACUCUCGAGCUGGAUUCGGGUUUCCAUGGCCUAGCUCCACUGGUCGUUGAUUUCUGUGCCGACAUGAUGGCCUUGAGUUGACAGUUACCUAGCUUUUGCCGCUUGUGGUUGGGCGACACUUCUGACUGGUGUGCAUCCAUGUUGGAAGCUCUUUCCAUCCCUUAAAAACUGGCUAAAAGUUCCUUUCUUGAUGGUUCGUCCUGGUUUGGCGUGUUAUUGAGCAUAGAAUUUCUCGAGAAGUGCAGGAGAUUCGAGUGGAAGCUAUAGCAGCCAUCUAUGCAGCACCUUGUCUUCUGGAUGCACUUGGCCAUCCGGUGAGUGCGAUCUAAGCAGGCAAAACAGCGACGUUCUUCACGUAUGAAUGAAAUUCGCGCUCCAGUCGACAUGUUGAGGAAUGCUUGGCAUCUCUGCAGAGGGAGAUAUCCAGGGCACAACAGGCAAGUGCUGUCGUCCCUUCCUCUAACCUCCUCUCUUCCCGAAGUCACUAUGCCCACAGGUCUCCUUUCUGAUGAGGAAGGGUAUGGGUGUGAGCCUGUUCAUGUACUGUUCGGCUCUUCUUGUCUUUGUCCCCUCGAAGCCCUCCUUGUCCUGUCUAGCAUCUCCAGUAGAAAAUCCUUCAUCCACUCGACCCCUGGAAAAUUCCCGUGUCUCCUUUCAUAGUCAUAUGCUCAGCAUAUGACUAUGAAAGGAGACACGAUAGAGCAUAUUAUGCUCUAUCCUCAUAUCGCGCCCUGAUCUUUCCUGUGAAUCUCUUAGCCAAAGUAUUCAGUGAUUCGUAAGUGUCAAUUUCAUGCAGUUUUCCUAGCACCUUUAAGUUGCUUACGCAAUUUCCAAGAUUGUCCGCGAGCUCCUGAAGUCUUUUAAUGUCAUCUGUUCUCACGGCUGGCCCACGUAGGACCUUGCCUAUUAGUUCUUGGAUGUAGGAUUACUUGUUGCCCUGGGAUCUUCUAUUUGCAGGCACACUCUCAGGGAUUUCUUAGUGCGGCCGAUGUAGGCCGAGAGAAGUGUUUCCAAUUUUAGUGCAUAGUGUAUGGACGCCUCCCCAUUGUGUCUUUGGAAGGCAUGCUUGAACUCCCAAUACUCGUCACAAGUCCCUCCGCUGAAUUUUGGCAUCGGCCAUUAACUUUUCCAGUCUCUGGGUUGGUAGCAUCGUGUCCGAUGGCCUCCCUUCCAUCCGUCCUGGGCGUUCUCACUAUAUAUCUUGUACUUUUUUUUCCUUCUCCUAGGUUCCUGUUGGUGUCACUGCUUCCGGAAAGUGGGUAUGACAGGUGGAAACAUGUUCCCUCUCCCCCUGAGGAGAUGUUCGCGACUCUGAGGCGCUGAGUGUUGGGAACCCUCCUUGGGUGGGAGUCUAGGUGUAGCAGUUAGACACUCCUGGUUCUGGCGGUUGACAAUAUGUAUCUCAUGGAUACCUCGUCGCGGCUAUCAUCCCCUCACUCGUUUCCAGAAAAGGUUUUCCUCCUGGGAAUGAUAGCAUCUCACCAAAGUCAUCCGUAUCACCUAAAGUCUGCAGUUGCUCCAUAUGAUCUUUCAUAUUCUGCAUCAUUGCCGUCAAUUGGGUGAGCGUCUGCUGAUAACCCCCGAUUACCCUAUUCUUCCGGCCUGUUGGUUUCAUCCUUCUCUUGGGUGAAAGGGUUUCUCCACUUCGCCCUGACUGUGUGAGUGACCAACUAGCAUCUCCGUCGUUCAGGGCCUCCAGGUCUUCUAGGCUAGCUAGGCUUAUCUCCUCUGCCGUGUUCCCUUCCAUGACUGGUGGCACAGUGAACUCGAUUUGGCUCUUUCGGUGGACAGUUAUAGAUACGUUCGGUUAAGCCGGAAUGCUCUUCAACUGACGCGCCUGCUCGUUUAUAACGAUGUCACAUGACUGAGAUCAUACAAGAGAUGUCAUACAACUGAAGUCAUAUAAGCGAUGUCAUAUAAUUGAAGUUAUAUAAGUGAUGUCAUACAACGGAAGUCAUGUAAGCGAUGUCAUACAACUGAAGUCAUAUAAGCGAUGUCAUACAACUAAAGUAAUAUAAACACGUGCAUUAAGCACGAGCGAAGUCACACUAACACGACAACAGAGGCACCACAAUCAGUGUAGGGAUUCCUUACACAACUGCUAACAUCAUAAAACUGAUGCCACAAACACUACUGUGCCCUUACUCACAACGUUCCUUAACUGUCACAACUACUAUUUUCUAACAGAAAGGGCAACUCACUCGUUCUUAAAUUUUAUUUACAAUUGGAGAUGCAGUCUGGUUGUAUGCUUUGAACACUAUCUCUCCCGCGUGUACAUGAGAAUGUAAGUGACACAGAGUACACUCUUUCCUCACACGCGGUCCUCGCUGCUGGUGGCAUUUCGAUCCGGAUUGAACGAUAACACUCCUGCACGCCUGUUCGAACAAUUUUGGCACCGAGACCAGUCCUCUCUGACACUUGACCCACAUACAGAGGUGUCACAUUUCUCUACGUACACAUAUGAGUGCUAUACACAAACUCAACCCACAACCCCCUUUUCGUUGGGGUUAACUAUUAUUAUAUUAUAGGCAUCACACUUUAGUUGAUGAUUCACAAAUUCUCACAUAGGCAUCCCAGCUCUCCUGCUGUGUAGCUGCCUGGUGCUCCGGCGCCGGAAGGAAGCUCCCCGCUGAAGGUCCAUCGACGGUUGAGUCACUCGCCAGUUCUCGGUAGAUUGUAUCGGCAGACUGUAGUGUCAUGGUCACAAUGGCACUGCUGGUCUGUUUGAAACCUGAUGAUUCAUAUUAUGCUUCACGCCCUCAAAACAUGUGGAUAACUGGUGAGUUAUCCCUAGGAAGGGAUUUUCCCUAGCUUAGGUGCCGUCCAUUUUCUCUGACUUUCUGAAACCAACCUAUAUAAAGUAAAUUUGAAUGUGAGCGAGAACACCGUUGUUUUGCACCAACUUAGAUAUGUCUGAUUACAGUUAAAGCAUUCAAGAUCCGUUGUGAGUGAUGUUGAAAGCUUCAACUGUCUUUAUAGUUAGUAACACUUAUCAAGUAAGUGAGGGUCGAGUCUGCCAGUAUGAAUGACAUCCCGUGAUAUCGUCCUUGGGUAUAGCCGUGAAUUUCCAAUUGUUACUGAAGUUAGAUUAUUUUGAUGCCCAAACCUCAGAGAAUCUGAUAUUUGGAGUUUGAUUAUUGUCAGUUGUCUAUUUAAGAAAGUAAUUAAUCUCCUGAAAAGAAUAUGUCACACUCUUAUCUCCAAGAUCUCAACGUUUACCCAUAGAAGGUCCUUGCCUAGAAAUCCCAAUUAUGUUGUGAGAAUGACGUUAACAGCGUGUGUAUUUGACAUCCAUUUCACUUCUUCCUGGCAAGCCCAAUCUCUGAUUAGAUUAUAAAAAUAGACGUAAGAAAUUCACCUGACCCAUGACUGAUUUUCAUAGUUAAAUGUUCAGCAACUGAGUUGAAUGUAAUUUCUGUCAUUGAGUGAUUAGCCUUUCUGGCAUGUGUAGUGCAGAGGACUGAGUUGCCAUUUAGCUGUAUAUAAACUCGUGUUCGAGGAGAAGCGUCACAUCUCUGACGCUGUCCCAUCAUAUCUCAGGCACAGUGUGUGUGUUAGCUGAAUACCUGACAGACACAGGGAGGCCGGUAGCUGCACACCAGCUGGCUGCCUCUAGGAUGUCGUUAAUUCAGCAUGAUUAAUUUGUGCGAGUCCGCACCCUGGUGACUUGGCUCGAACUACCUCGCUGUGUGUCGGACUGUAACCGACCCAAACAGCGCUCUUUGUUUGUCGUGGUGACACCACUGUGACACCCUGGUGCACUCCUUACAGUUAUAUGGGCCAAAGUAUUAUUGUUGUAUAUGAUUGGGGAUAAUUAGCAGAAAUAUAGUUAUUCCAUGUUGAGAAGCGAACUCAUAAAUACUGAUAGUACCAGUAAUAACGUGUUAUGUGUUGUGAAUUGCAUCCUCCAUAUGUACUACCAACUGAGUUCUAGUGAAGGUACCAUAUGUAAGCUUGUCAUGUUGUGUGUUCUUUUAAAUGUACAACCAGUAAUGAUGUAAGAAGCAUGAGUAUCUAAUUGAAAUUGCAGAUGAGUAAAGUCAAGGAGUUGAUCCUUGUAGUUGUAUGUUAAUGACAUCUUUAACCAGAUUUAAUUUCAUAUUCAUAAACCAUUUUUAGAGUAUGAUAGAGGUAUCAUUUUCCCUCAGUAUCUACCUUUAUUCUUGUCCAAUAGCUUGAUACCAAAAUUACUUAACCCAUGUGCCCAAACCCUUGCCAUGCUACCAAAGGUCAGAGGUUAUGAAGUAACUAUAGGAAAUGAAAUAAUUAGACAGAACUAAUGGAGAAAAUGAAUGAAAUAAGGAAAAGAAAAGAAAAGAAGAAAAGAAGAAAGCCUCCACCCUUAUAAAUGGUUUGCAGCAGUGGGAUUGUAAUUUAAUAUAUCAAGUUGGGAAGAAUGAAUGUGAUACUGUGGGUGUUUUUUAACUGUCAUUCGUAAUAACCAUUUCUCUAAACAGGUACCUAAUAACCAUUUCACUGUAACAAAUGAGUAUUUCAGAUUGCUAAUAUUUUGUUACGUAUUUUUCCAUUGUACAGUAUAGUAUGUUAUUCUGUGAUAUUUAAGUAGGGACUUAAAUUAUUUCAUUUGGUAGUAAUUUUGUUCAGUGGAAACAGUGUUAAGGAAAUGUACAGAUUUUUUUUUUUUGGUUUUGCCGAGAAAUUGAAAUAACAGUUAAGAGUAAAUACUUCACUUGAAGUUAGGUAAGAACAAUUGCCUCAAAGAAAAAUAGAAAUCUUGUUUAAAGUAAAUUGUACUUGUAAUGCUGUUGUGUAGAAACAUGAAAUAUUCAGAGUAAUGGUAAUUGUCUGAAAAACAAAUGUCAGCUACCUAACUUAUAUAUUUUUGCAUUCUUCUUUUUUGUGAAAUCUCAGAAAAAGUGUUUAUUAUAUACCAGUGUAAUAUUUUUUUGGUGCCUUCCUACACUGAUACCAUAGCAACUGUUGUGACCACUCAAGUUAAUACUUUGAUAUUUACAGACAAUGAGUGAGCAGUGAACAUCUGCCGUGUUAAGAGUGUUGUGGGCAGUGUUCAUUUCUGAGUGUCACCUGAAGGCCAUUAUUGUACUAAGGUUAUGUAACUUAGUUUUAUUUGUAAUUGUGAAAUUUAUUUGAUGUAUUUGUUGUGGUUUCAAUAGGAAGUGUUGAAAUUCUCACUUGACGACAUAUUUUUUUUUGGCUAAUGAAUUUAUUUUAUAUAACCGAGUUGAGAGUUAUAAAAAAAUUUGUGUGUGUA
rnacentral:misc_RNA from 1 species